AUAUAUUAAUAUUAAAGUCAAAAAUACAGAAUGUCAGAAAUUUGAGUAAACCGUGUUGAAUCCAGAUUUCCGAUAUAAAAGGGGGCCUGUCAUAAACGUCCAGACCAUGUUUUGAAAUUUAAGUUUGUGAGCACAUUGCCCCCGUUUUAAUAUACAUCUGAAAAAACAGUAUUUAAUACUACUUUAAUAUAAUUCUAUGCAG
rnacentral:lncRNA from 1 species